rnacentral:rRNA from 1 species
UACGGAGGGUGCAAGCGUUAUCCGGAUUCACUGGGUUUAAAGGGUGCGUAGGUGGGCAGGUAAGUCAGUGGUGAAAUCUCCGGGCUUAACCCGGAAACUGCCAUUGAUACUAUCUGUCUUGAAUACCGUGGAGGUGAGCGGAAUAUGUCAUGUAGCGGUGAAAUGCUUAGAUAUGACAUAGAACACCAAUUGCGAAGUCAGCUCACUACGCUAAUAUUGACACUGAGGCUCGAAAUCGUUGGGAUCAAACAGG